rnacentral:misc_RNA from 1 species
UCUUCUUCUUCUUCUUCUUCUUGUGAUGAGUUAUUUUGCUCAUAUGAAUUUAGUAUUUUGCAGAAAUGCUAGUCACUUUGAAGGUAUAUCUUCUUUUUACUGCUGCAAUAGAGUACUGUCAUCUUAGUUGCAGAGAAGGGGAAAAAACAUAUGGAAGAUAGUGGAUUUCAUUUUUCUAGAAAUUAAAAUUUGCUUUAAUGAGUAAUUUCAUGCAUGAUGGCAGUGAUGCUACCAUUGUUGGGUUCUUUUGCAGAUAAUGUUAUUAUAAGACACAAGAUGUACUUAAAGAUAAUUUCAAAUUAAAAGCAAAAUGCUACUCCUAUGCACAUUGAAGGAAGUAUCAAAAUGAAGCAAAAGCUGGGAGAUUUAGUGUCAUGCCAUAUUAGCUAAUCCAUAGUCAAAAUCCUGUUUGAUAUUACGUCUAGGCCAACAUAAACUCCAUUUGGAGAUUAAAAACCUAACAUCUUCAUAACCCCAUGAUAAGUAUAGAUAUAUAUUUCAUGGAAGACAGGGUUGGAGUUGAAUGUAGGGAUCAAAGAUAGAAGCAACUUGCCUCUUGGAGUCAUUAUGGCGUUGGGCACAAGGUCAAGAUGUUGUCUACAAAAAUGUGAUGUUCUGUUAGAAUUCUGUUACUCUAAUAAAGCUAUAGUGUGGUCUUGAUAAUUAAUAUAUGGCCCUAGACAGGGAACUGGAUGGAGGAGGAGAUCCAAGGUGCUGAUCCCAAUUAGGUUGGUAACUUGGGAUUGAACUUAGUUUAAUUGUAGCAGUCUUGAUAGUGAAUAUCCUUGCUUUUCUGGGAUAACAUUCUAUCAGCUUUCAUUCUUAGAGACUCUUUUGACUAAAAGUCCUUGUGGUUGCUAUCCAGAAUUAUCAUACUAGCUUUUUCAUCAAAUAUUCAUUUUUGGAAGUAUAUGAAGUUUCAUCCUGUGGAGCCUACUUAUACAGAAUGUGAAAAGCCUGUGGCAGUUUGAUUACAAUAGACUUAAUUGAUUUGAGCAUUUGAAGUGGCUCUCUUAAUUUUCAAGGCAUGAGGGACGUUGUAAGUGCUUAGUACAAAGGGAUGUUUUAUAAUUUUGAAUAGUAAAGAAGUUUGGUAUGGACUGCUGAAGCAGCAGCAUUUCGUAAUUUAGAAUAGCUGGUUUUUAAGAGUGCGCCACUCUAUAGCUGUCCAGCUGUGUAAUCAGCAGUUUGGAGGCACUUUUAGCAACUCAUAAAUGCGUCUCCUCAAUCUAUGUACAUGCUCAAACUUUAAUUUUUGUAACCAAUAGGCUCAAUUUUUAAUUAGAUUUUGAUGAUAUAGGGGGAUUUUGGUUUUUAGCUGAACCGAAAAAUUCUGAGAUAUAUUUUCGUGGAUAUUUUUACAUUUUUUGGAAAUAAACAAAAGAUUUUUUUGUGCUAAAUUGAUAAACAAUUUUAUAAUUUUUAAAUGAUAUAAAAUUCAUUCUCUAUGUGUGUGACUAUAAUCAUUUAAUGGACUAUAAAUCAUGCUUGUUAGUUUUGAAAAUAAAAUUUUAAUGGUGCAAUAGGUCAAAAUAGAAGGUCAUGGAUAUAAUAGACUUUUUCUAAUUAGUUUAUGGGCUAAUUGUGUGUUGUGCAUGUGGCUAUUUUUGGAAGUCUUUGGUGAGAUGUUAUGCCAGAUGUAAGUCUGUUGAGAAUUGAGAUAUCUAUGAAUCCUAGAAAGUGCAAGCUGGGAAAAGCUAGUGCAAUGCUAGGCUCUCUAUCUUGUCAUCCAUCUAGUUUCUUAGAAGCACUACCUUGUAUAAUAUCUGAUUAGUUAGCAAGCUACCUCAUCUAGUUCUUCGUAUCAGCCCUUAAAGUACUCAAGUUCAUCAUAUUUAUGCUAAAAUUUGAUGAAAGUGCCAUUAGUGUGCUUAUACAACUUCUGCUGCUCCGAAAUCUUUUAGUUUUAGGGUCUAGUAAUUUUUAAUUUGAGAUCUUAUUUAAUGGGUAUAUGUAUUUUACUUUUGAGUUCAAUUUUUUUUUUCAAUAUUCCAAUUAAGAAGAUAAGGAACCAAAAGUCUAUAUUUCUUUCAAUUUGUUAGGCUUUCAACGAUGGAAUUUUGUGGUUUCAAUUUGGAGGCAUGCACACUUGUGAACAUGCUCACUAUAUGUCAGUUUCUUUUGUUCUUAUACAACUGUGCAAUUUGGAUGCAUAAAUACAUAUAAAUAUGUUCUCCCCUAUAUCAAUUUCUUUCCUUCUUAUUACUGAUUCUGCCCUUGUUCUUUUCCAAUUAAUCAGCUCUCCUGUAUACUGUUCAAAACUGUGAACUCGUGUAUUUUGUUCAAUAGUUCUUUAUCCCUUUAGAUCUUUUACUUGCCAUCUCAUUAAACCUGCAGUUAAUCUCUCAAUUCAUUUCCUUUCAUAGUACCAUAUCAAAACAAAAGUUUUGUGUUUUUCAUCAUUUGAAAUCCUAAAAUCAUCUUGUCUCACUGCAGGACACAUAGAGAUUUAUUAUCUACAAUUGCAUCUCUAAUAUGAUUUUAAAUAACGGCUGUUAUAUUAACGAUCAUUAUUUACAAGUUUUUGGAGGUACCAUUAUUGAUACCCCUUUAAAUAAUGGUGGAAAAAAAUUGUAAUGGCUAAUGGCCGUUAUGUAAUGUAACUACUGUUACCUGCUGUCACUUAACAGGUGACGGUCGUUGCCCACAUGGGCAGAUAGAGAUUCUUUUUAUUAGUGGUGCAAAGAGCUUAUAUUGUUUCUAGUUUCUACACUUUUCCAUUUGUUUCUCUCAAAUUUCCUAUCUUAAAUUUUCCAUCUUCAC